rnacentral:misc_RNA from 1 species
AACCUUAUGGACCUGCGGGCGUAUACCUGCGGAAGGAUCAUUACCUGCAGCGCCGACGCACCCCCGCGCCGGCGUCUCGCCCCCCUCCCUUACCUAUACCUACCGUACGUGAAUCCCUCGGCGGGGACGCCCGCCGCCGGGACCCUCCAACCAAACCCUUGCAAUGAACCCUACCCUUCUGAACCUUACCACCUAUUACAACUUUCAACAACGGAUCU